CCCUUAGACGUUCUGGGCCGCACGCGCGCUACACUGACGAAGGCAACGAGCUUUCCUUUACCGAAAGGUACGGGUAAUCUUUUGAAACUUCGUCGUGCUGGGGAUAGAUCCUUGCAAUUUUUGAUCUCAAACGAGGAAUGCCUAGUAAGCGCAAGUCAUCAACUUGCGUUGAUUACGUCCCUGCCCUUUGUACACACCGCCCGUCGCUACUACCGAUUGAAUGGUUUAGUGAGGCCUUCGGAUCCGCGACUCGUUUUGUGGAGAAGUUGGACAAACUCAGUCAUUUAGAGGAAGUAAAAGUCGUAACA
rnacentral:rRNA from 1 species